rnacentral:rRNA from 1 species
AACUUUUAACAACGGAUCUCUUGGCUCUCGCAUCGAUGAAGAGCGCAGCGAAAUGCGAUAAGUAAUGUGAAUUGCAGAAUUCAGUGAAUCAUCGAAUCUUUGAACGCACCUUGCACCUUUUGGUAUUCCGAAAGGUAUGCCUGUUUGAGUGUC